rnacentral:lncRNA from 1 species
GGGGUGGGGUAAGGGAAGAAAGAGGACCCCCCCCCCCCUUCCCAUUCAUUUUAAUGGGGUGAGGGGCCCCAUUCAUUUCAAUGGGGUGAGAGCCCUCCCCAUUCAUUUCAAUGGGGUGAGAGCCCUCCCAUUCAUUUCAAUGGGGUGAGAGCCCCCCAUAGGACCCCCCAUAGGACCUCAUAGGGACCAUCCAUAGGACCCAUAGGACCCCCCAUAGGACCAUAGGACCCCCCAUAGGAUCCAUAGGACCCCCCAACAAGGACCCAUAGGACGCCCCAUUAGGUAUCAUAGGAACCCAUAGACCCCCCCAUAAGGUCCAUAGACCCCAUAGGAUCCACCAGGACCCCCCAUAGAAUACAUAGGACCCAUAGGACCCCCCAUGGAUUCAUAGGACCCAUAGGACCCCCCAUUAGAUCUCAUAGGACCCCCCAUAGUCAUAGUACCCAUAGGAACCCCCAUAGGAUCCAUAAAGACCCAUAGGAACCCCCAUAGGAUCCAUAGGACCCAUAGGACCCCCAUAGGAUUCCAUAGGAUCCAUAGGAUCCAUAGGACCCCCAUAGGAUCCAUAGGACCCAUAGGACCCCCCAUAGGAUCCAUAGGACCCAUAGGACCCUCCCAUAAGGACCCAUAGGACCCCCAUAGGAUCAUAUAGACCUCCCAUAGAUUCCAUGUAGGACUCAUAGGACCCCCCAUAAGGAUUCCAUAGGACCUCCCCAUAGAGGAUCAUAGGACCCCCAUAGAAUCCAAUAGGA